UACGUAGGGUGCAAGCGUUGUCCGGAAUUAUUGGGCGUAAAGAGCUCGUAGGCGGUUUGUCGCGUCUGCUGUGAAAACUCGGGGCUUAACCCCGGGCCUGCAGUGGGUACUGGCAGACUAGAGUGCGGUAGGGGAGACUGGAAUUCCUGGUGUAGCGGUGGAAUGCGCAGAUAUCAGGAGGAACACCGGCGGCGAAGGCGGCUACCUGGACAAUUGCUGACGCUCAGGCACGAAAGCGUGGGGAGCAAAAGGG
rnacentral:rRNA from 1 species